rnacentral:lncRNA from 10 species
AUUUCAUUCAGGUUUCACCAAGGCUUACACAAUUCCAGUCAUCUCCAGAGGUAAGCACAGAGUUGCAGCAGACCAGCUGAUAUUAACCCUUUGUUUGCACAGGAAUAUUUGCCUCCCUCUCCCGGGUAUUGAGACUUUCAAACGUAGGUAUACUUGGUUAUAAUAGAGUACCAUCUCUCUCUCUCAGGUACACUGGCUUUCUCAAAGGACUAUUGCAAGUCUUUGCACACAUAGCUGGAGCCAUCUCUCCUACUGCUGCUGGAUUUUUCAUCAGUCAGGAUUCAGAGUUUGGUUGGAGAAAUGUCUUCUUGCUUUCAGCUGCUGUUAACAUAUCGGGCCUGGUUUUCUACCUCAUCUUUGGCCGAGCAGAUGUGCAGGACUGGGCUAAAGAGCAGACAUUCACCCACCUCUGAGCAAACCGAGAGAUGUGCUAGAUCCUGGUGCUUAGUUCAUCAUUGUUUUCCCUCACAGACAUUUCUCUUUCAUGCCUGCUUGACUGAUAAGCCAUUAGCUAGACCCUGACUAUGUAACGCUAAAGAUUUUACCAUGCCUGGAAAUUUUACAGGGGAAGAAAACACGCUAGUUAUUUAACUGCAAGCUACUAAAAGCAUAGGUGUGUUGAGAUUUCUGUGUUCUCCACUCUUCCACUGUUAUCCUAGUAAAAGCAUCAGGGGCUGGGGACAAUUUCUUUCCAAAGCAAAAGAGGAAGCCAGACCUUGGGACCGAGAACUGAGAAUCACAAGGGAGUUGCGCCCAACAUGCAGAACAUGAAUCCUCUGAGCUGUCCUCAAAAGAAAGCCCCAAACAACAGAAAGCAUAGUGUUUUCCAUUGUUGGUGAAAAAUGUCAAGGAGGAAAGAACAAUAAUGAUUCCAUCAUGAUAAGAGGAAUGAACGUGUCUGCAACUAAUGGGAGCAAGAUAGUACACUUUAACUCUUUCAGACAACUUGCAUUCUGUGGAUGCCAGCUUUGGAAUCAGAGCCGCCUCUGGAAUACCUGUGCUUCCAGAGUUAGCUUUUGGACAGUUACCUUCUUUCUGGCCAUCUUGACUUCUGCCCCACAUCUGCUUUUUGGCUUUGUGCAGAUCUUUAACAUGUUAGUGAACAGACAUUGCCCAGUGUCUCUUCUAGCCCCUCCAACAGUUCUUCAUGUAGCACUGCUUUUGGACAGUGACCCAUGAUAUCUGCCUUCGUUUGCCCCUCUGACUGUUGGAAUCCCACGCACCAUUCAGUAGGAUUCAAUUCAAUGUGGAACCAUUCAACAUUCACCUCAUUAACCUAAAAUGUCUCCCAAAGAUGUAUGUAAGACACACACUGCCCUAACCUCACUCCAAAUGUCUGGAGAAAUGUGUGUAGUGCUUUUGUUAAAGCCCCUAUAUGGGCAGCAUGGAGGAUCAUAAGAUAGCAAAACCAUUUCAACACUAAAUGAAUAUUAAUGUACAC